UACGGAGGGUGCGAGCGUUGUCCGGAAUCACUGGGCGUAAAGGGCGCGUAGGCGGCCACCGCAAGUCGAUUGUGAAAUCUCCGGGCUUAACCCGGAAAGGUCAACCGAUACUGCGGGGCUAGAGUGCAGAAGGGGCAACUGGAAUUCUCGGUGUAGCGGUGAAAUGCGUAGAUAUCGAGAGGAACACCUGCGGCGAAGGCGGGUUGCUGGGCUGACACUGACGCUGAAGUGCGAAAGCGUGGGGAGCAAACAGG
rnacentral:rRNA from 1 species